AUUGAACGCUGGCGGCAUGCUUUACACAUGCAAGUCGAACGGCAGCGCGGGCUUCGGCCUGGCGGCGAGUGGCGAACGGGUGAGUAAUGCAUCGGAACGUGCCCAGUAGUGGGGGAUAGCCCGGCGAAAGCCGGAUUAAUACCGCAUACGACCUGAGGGUGAAAGCGGGGGACCGAAAGGCCUCGUGCUAUUGGAGCGGCCGAUGUCGGAUUAGCUAGUUGGUGGGGUAAAGGCUUACCAAGGCGACGAUCCGUAGCUGGUCUGAGAGGACGACCAGCCACACUGGGACUGAGACACGGCCCAGACUCCUACGGGAGGCAGCAGUGGGGAAUUUUGGACAAUGGGGGCAACCCUGAUCCAGCCAUGCCGCGUGCGGGAAGAAGGCCUUCGGGUUGUAAACCGCUUUUGUUCGGGAAGAAAUCCUCUGGGCUAAUACCCCGGGGGGAUGACGGUACCGGAAGAAUAAGCACCGGCUAACUACGUG
rnacentral:rRNA from 1 species